UCGCGGCCUAUCAGCUUGUUGGUGGGGUAACGGCCCACCAAGGCAUCGACGGGUAGCUGGUCUGAGAGGACGAUCAGCCACACUGGGACUGAGACACGGCCCAGACUCCUACGGGAGGCAGCAGUGGGGAAUCUUGCGCAAUGGGCGAAAGCCUGACGCAGCAACGCCGCGUGGGGGAUGAAGGCUCUCGGGUUGUAAACCCCUUUCAGCAGGGACGAAUCAAGACGGUACCUGCAGAAGAAGCCCCGGCUAACUACGUGCCAGCAGCCGCGGUAACACGUAGGGGGCAAGCGUUGUCCGGAUUUAUUGGGCGUAAAGAGCUCGUAGGUGGCUGAGUAAGUCGGAUGUUAAAUCCCCAGGCUCAACCUGGGACACCACCCGAUACUGCUCUGGCUAGAGUCCGGUAGGGGAGCGUGGAAUUCCUAGUGUAGCGGUGAAAUGCGCAGAUAUUAGGAGGAACACCAGCGGCGAAGGCGGCGCUCUGGGCCGGUACUGACACUGAGGAGCGAAAGCGUGGGUAGCAAACAGGAUUAGAUACCCUGGUAGUCCACGCCGUAAACGUUGGGCACUAGGUGUGGGGUCUAUUCAACGGACUCCGUGCCGUAGCUAACGCAUUAAGUGCCCCGCCUGGGGAGUACGG
rnacentral:rRNA from 1 species